ACCGAGCGCUCCGCGGGGUGGGAUGGAGAGGUGGGCAGCUGCCCGGCUCCGUUUGGGGGGUCCCGCUCAGAGGCGGGGCUCAGCGCCAGGGCCGGGACUCCCGGGGUCCGGGUGCCGGGUGCCGGGCGCGCAAGGGAGCCGGGCUGGCGGGAGAGGGCAGCGCCGGGUUUUUGUCCUGGGGCUCUGGGCCGUGAGCACAGAAACUCAGUAUUUCGGCACAGGUACCCGGCUGACCGUGCUAGAGGACCUGAAAAAGGUGAGCCCUCCCAAGGUCACAGUGUUUGAACCAUCAGAAGCAGAGAUCUCCCGGACCCUGAAGGCCACGCUCGUGUGCCUGGCCACAGGCUUCUACCCCGACCACGUGGAGCUGAGCUGGUGGGUGAACGGGAAGGAGGUGCGCGACGGGGUCAGCACGGACCCUGAGCCCUACAAGGAACAGUCCGGCGCGAAUGUCUCCAGCUACUGUCUGAGCAGCCGGCUGAGGGUCUCCGCCACCUUCUGGCACAACCCUCGGAACCACUUCCGCUGCCAGGUCCAGUUCUACGGGCUCGGGAAGGAUGACCAGUGGGACUACCCCGAGGCCAAACCCAUCACCCAGAACGUCAGUGCCGACACCUGGGGCAGAGCAGACUGUGGCUUCACUUCAGCGUCCUACCAGCAGGGGGUCCUGUCGGCCACCAUCCUCUAUGAGAUCCUGCUGGGGAAGGCCACCCUAUAUGCCAUCCUGGUCGGCGUCCUCGUGCUGAUGGCCAAGGUCAAGAGAAAGGAUUCCUGAGGCCAGCUCCAAAAGCGUAUCCUGAGUUCAUAAUCCUCACCCCGGAUUCUCCUUUACAUGCUUCCAGCCCGUGUUUCUAAAAGCGUGAUUCUCUCUCCGCCUCUUAUCUCCUUCCUGCCGGGUUAUCUGUCCCUUCGCCCCACUUCCCUGUGGAUUGAGCUCCUCAGCCCUGACACUGAAAGAGACUAAAACAAUAAAAAGCGUCGUGCCAGGCC